AACGAACGCUGGCGGCGCGUCUUAAGCAUGCAAGUCGAACGGCAAGAGAGGAGCUUGCUUCUCUCCUAGAGUGGCGGACUGGUGAGGAACACGUGGGUAAUCUACCCUUAAGAUGGGGAUAGCUGCUAGAAAUAGCAGGUAAUACCGAAUACACUCGGCAUAUCACCAGAGGUGUUGAGGAAAGGAAGCUACGGCUUCGCUUGAGGAUGAGCUUGCGUCCCAUUAGCUAGUUGGUGAGGUAAAGCCCACCAAGGCGACGAUGGGUAUCCGGCCUGAGAGGGUGAACGGACACAUUGGGACUGAGAUACGGCCCAAACUCCUACGGGAGGCAGCAGCUAAGAAUAUUCCGCAAAGGACGGAAGUCUGACGGAGCGACGCCGCGUGGAUGAAGAAGGCUGAAGAGUUGUAAAAUCCUUUUGUUGAUGAAGAAUAAGGGUGAGAGGGAAUGCUCAUCUGAUGACGGUAAUCGACGAAUAAGCCCCGGCUAAUUACGUG
rnacentral:rRNA from 1 species